rnacentral:rRNA from 1 species
UACGGGGGGGGCAAGCGUUGUUCGGAAUUACUGGGCGUAAAGGGCUCGUAGGCGGCCAACUAAGUCAGACGUGAAAUCCCCAGGCUUAACCUGGGAACUGCGUCUGAUACUGGAUGGCUUGAAUUCGGGAGAGGGAUGCAGAAUUCCAGGUGUAGCGGUGAAAUGCGUAGAUAUCUGGAGGAAUACCGGUGGCGAAGGCGGCAUCCUGGACCGACAUUGACGCUGAGGAGCGAAAGCUAGGGGAGCAAACG